rnacentral:pre_miRNA from 1 species
UCUUAUAGAUGAGCAAAAGAAGUGGUUUCUUGAGACAGAAUCUGCUCAUGGUGUAGAAGUUGGGAA